rfam:Ipomoea nil DNA, scaffold: scaffold2283, cultivar: Tokyo-kokei standard.
GUGGGUGUGCCGGAGUGGUUAUUGGGCAUGACUAGAAAUCAUGUGAGAUUUGCCCGCGCAGGUUCGAAUCCUACUGCUCACU